rnacentral:rRNA from 1 species
AUAGGGGAGCCGAAGGGAAACCGAGUCUUAACUGGGCGUUAAGUUGCAGGGUAUAGACCCGAAACCCGGUGAUCUAGCCAUGGGCAGGUUGAAGGUUGGGUAACACUAACUGGAGGACCGAACCGACUAAUGUUGAAAAAUUAGCGGAUGACCUGUGGCUGGGGGUGAAAGGCCAAUCAAACCGGGAGAUAGCUGGUUCUCCCCGAAAGCUAUUUAGGUAGCGCCUCGUGAACUCAUCUUCGGGGGUAGAGCACUGUUUCGGCUAGGGGGUCAUCCCGACUUACCAACCCGAUGCAAACUGCGAAUACCGAAGAAUGUUAUCACGGGAGACACACGGCGGGUGCUAACGUCCGUCGUGAAGAGGGAAACAACCCAGACCGCCAGCUAAGGUCCCAAAGUCAUGGUUAAGUGGGAAACGAUGUGGGAAGGCCCAGACAGCCAGGAUGUUGGCUUAGAAGCAGCCAUCAUUUAAAGAAAGCGUAAUAGCUCACUGGUCGAGUCGGCCUGCGCGGAAGAUGUAACGGGGCUAAACCAUGCACCGAAGCUGCGGCAGCGACGCUUAUGCGUUGUUGGGUAGGGGAGCGUUCUGUAAGCCGUUGAAGGUGUGCUGUGAGGCAUGCUGGAGGUAUCAGAAGUGCGAAUGCUGACAUAAGUAACGAUAAAGCGGGUGAAAAGCCCGCUCGCCGGAAGACCAA